rnacentral:rRNA from 1 species
AUUGAACGCUGGCGGCAGGCCUAACACAUGCAAGUCGAGCGGAUGAAGGGAGCUUGCUCCUGGAUUCAGCGGCGGACGGGUGAGUAAUGCCUAGGAAUCUGCCUGGUAGUGGGGGAUAACGUCCGGAAACGGGCGCUAAUACCGCAUACGUCCUGAGGGAGAAAGUGGGGGAUCUUCGGACCUCACGCUAUCAGAUGAGCCUAGGUCGGAUUAGCUAGUUGGUGGGGUAAAGGCCUACCCAGGCGACGAUCCGUAACUGGUCUGAGAGGAUGAUCAGUCACACUGGAACUGAGACACGGUCCAGACUCCUACGGGAGGCAGCAGUGGGGAAUAUUGGACAAUGGGCGAAAGCCUGAUCCAGCCAUGCCGCGUGUGUGAAGAAGGUCUUCGGAUUGUAAAGCACUUUAAGUUGGGAGGAAGGGCAGUAAGUUAAUACCUUGCUGUUUUGACGUUACCAACAGAAUAAGCACCGGCUAACUUCGUG